GAAUAGGAAGAUGCGACAGGUGCCGUGUGGAAGCAUGGCUGAAAAGGGAAACCGGUGAAAGUCCGGUACGGUCCCGCCACUGUAAGGGGAAGCAACUUAUCACAUCCACUGUUUCUAUAGGGAAUGGGAAGGGAUAAGGCGUGAUGAACCUGAGUCAGGAGACCUGCCUGUUGUGUGCACUUAAG
rnacentral:ncRNA from 2 species